GACGAACGCUGGCGGCGUGCUUAACACAUGCAAGUCGAACGGAAAGGCCCUGCUUUUGUGGGGUGCUCGAGUGGCGAACGGGUGAGUAACACGUGAGUAACCUGCCCUUGACUUUGGGAUAACUUCAGGAAACUGGGGCUAAUACCGGAUAGGAGCUCCUGCUGCAUGGUGGGGGUUGGAAAGUUUCGGCGGUUGGGGAUGGACUCGCGGCUUAUCAGCUUGUUGGUGGGGUAGUGGCUUACCAAGGCUUUGACGGGUAGCCGGCCUGAGAGGGUGGCCGGCCACAUUGGGACUGAGAUACGGCCCAGACUCCUACGGGAGGCAGCAGUGGGGAAUAUUGCACAAUGGGCGGAAGCCUGAUGCAGCAACGCCGCGUGCGGGAUGACGGCCUUCGGGUUGUAAACCGCUUUCGCCUGUGACGAAGCGUGAGUGACGGUAAUGGGUAAAGAAGCACCGGCUAACUACGUGCCAGCAGCCGCGGUGAUACGUAGGGUGCGAGCGUUGUCCGGAUUUAUUGGGCGUAAAGGGCUCGUAGGUGGUUGAUCGCGUCGGAAGUGUAAUCUUGGGGCUUAACCCUGAGCGUGCUUUCGAUACGGGUUGACUUGAGGAAGGUAGGGGAGAAUGGAAUUCCUGGUGGAGCGGUGGAAUGCGCAGAUAUCAGGAGGAACACCAGUGGCGAAGGCGGUUCUCUGGGCCUUUCCUGACGCUGAGGAGCGAAAGCGUGGGGAGCGAACAGGCUUAGAUACCCUGGUAGUCCACGCCGUAAACGGUGGGUACUAGGUGUGGGGUCCAUUCCACGGGUUCCGUGCCGUAGCUAACGCUUUAAGUACCCCGCCUGGGGAGUACGGCCGCAAGGCUAAAACUCAAAGGAAUUGACGGGGCCCCGCACAAGCGGCGGAGCAUGCGGAUUAAUUCGAUGCAACGCGUAGAACCUUACCUGGGUUUGACAUGGAUCGGGAGCGCUCAGAGAUGGGUGUGCCUCUUUUGGGGUCGGUUCACAGGUGGUGCAUGGCUGUCGUCAGCUCGUGUCGUGAGAUGUUGGGUUAAGUCCCGCAACGAGCGCAACCCUUGUUCACUGUUGCCAGCACGUUAUGGUGGGGACUCAGUGGAGACCGCCGGGGUCAACUCGGAGGAAGGUGGGGAUGACGUCAAGUCAUCAUGCCCCUUAUGUCCAGGGCUUCACGCAUGCUACAAUGGCUGGUACAGAGAGUGGCGAGCCUGUGAGGGUGAGCGAAUCUCGGAAAGCCGGUCUCAGUUCGGAUUGGGGUCUGCAACUCGACCUCAUGAAGUCGGAGUCGCUAGUAAUCGCAGAUCAGCAACGCUGCGGUGAAUACGUUCCCGGG
rnacentral:rRNA from 1 species